GGGGAUAUAGCUCAGUUGGUAGAGUGCUUGUCUUGCAUGCACAAGGCCCUGGGUUCAAUCCCCAGAACCACUA
rfam:Ictidomys tridecemlineatus contig011399, whole genome shotgun sequence.